rnacentral:rRNA from 1 species
UACAGAGGUCUCAAGCGUUGUUCGGAUUCAUUGGGCGUAAAGGGUGCGUAGGCGGCGCGGUAAGUCGGGUGUGAAAUUUCGAGGCUUAACUUCGAAACUGCAUUCGAUACUGCCGUGCUUGAGGACUGGAGAGGAGACUGGAAUUUACGGUGUAGCGGUGAAAUGCGUAGAUAUCGUGAAGGAAGACCAGUGGCGAAGGCGGGUCUCCUGGGCCUGAUCUGACGCUGGAGGCGCGAAAGCUAGGGGAGCAAACAGG